UUAGAAGUUGACGGGGGCCGCGACAAGCGGUGGAGCAUGUGGUUUAAUUCGACGCAACGCGAAGAACCUUACCAGGCUUGACACUCCCUGACCGCGUAUGAAAGUACGUUUUCACCCUCGGGUGACAGGGAGACAGGUGGUGCAUGGUUGUCGUCAGCUCGUGUCGUGAGAUGUUGGGUUAAGUCCCGCAACGAGCGCAACCCCUACGUUUAGUUGCUAACAGGUGAAGCUGAGCACUCUAGACGAACUGCCGUUGACAAAACGGAGGAAGGUGGGAUGACGUCAAAUCAUCAUGCCCCUUAUGUUCUGGGCUACACACGUGCUACAAUGGCCGGUACAGACGGAGGCGAAGCCGCGAGGCGGAGCAAAUCCGAAAAAGCCGGUCUCAGUUCGGAUUGCAGGCUGCAAUUCGCCUGCAUGAAGUCGGAAUCGCUAGUAAUCGCAGGUCAGCAUACUGCGGUGAAUACGUUCCCGGGCCUU
rnacentral:rRNA from 1 species